rnacentral:rRNA from 1 species
AGUGAACGCUGGCGGUAGGCCUAACACAUGCAAGUCGAACGGCAGCACAGUAAGAGCUUGCUCUUACGGGUGGCGAGUGGCGGACGGGUGAGGAAUACAUCGGAAUCUACUUUUUCGUGGGGGAUAACGUAGGGAAACUUACGCUAAUACCGCAUACGACCUACGGGUGAAAGCAGGGGAUCUUCGGACCUUGCGCGAUUGAAUGAGCGGAUGUCGGAUUAGCUAGUUGGCGGGGUAAAGGCCCACCAAGGCGACGAUCCGUAGCUGGUCUGAGAGGAUGAUCAGCCACACUGGAACUGAGACACGGUCCAGACUCCUACGGAAGGCAGCAGUGGGGAAUAUUGGACAAUGGGCGCAAGCCUGAUCCAGCCAUACCGCGUGGGUGAAGAAGGCCUUCGGGUUGUAAAGCCCUUUUGUUGGGAAAGAAAAGCAGCAGGUUAAUACCCCGCUGUUCUGACGGUACCCAAAGAAUAAGCACCGGCUAACUUCGUG